rnacentral:rRNA from 2 species
ACGGGAGGCAGCAGUAGGGAAUUUUCGUCAAUGGGGGGAACCCUGAACGAGCAAUGCCGCGUGAGUGAAGACGGUUUUCGGACUGUAAAGCUCUGUUGCGAGAGAAAAACGAUAUGGAUAGGGAAUGAUCCAUAAGUGAUGGUAUCUCGCCAGAAAGUCACGGCUAACUACGUGCCAGCAGCCGCGGUAAUACGUAGGUGGCGAGCGUUAUCCGGAAUGAUUGGGCGUAAAGGGUGCGUAGGUGGCAUGGUAAGUCUGAAGUCAAAGCCGGCAGCUCAACUGUCGUACGCUUUGGAAACUGCCAAGCUAGAGUGCAGGAGAGGGCAAUGGAACUCCAUGUGUAGCGGUAAAAUGCGUAGAUAUAUGGAAGAACACCAGUGGCGAAGGCGGUUGCCUGGCCUGUAACUGACACUGAGGCACGAAAGCGUGGGGAGCAAAUAGGAUUAGAUACCCUGGUA